GACUUACUCGUGACUUGAACAUGGGUGAGUUACUCCCACCUCCAGACUCAAGCGUACAAAAAAUAUUCUGGCACUGACUACCUUUCGCCCUUGGAGUACAAUUCCUGGUGGUCCUGCAGCUCCAGAAGGUCCAGGUAGGCCUACACCAUCUGCUCCAGUCUCUCCCGUCAAGCCAAGACGUCCCGGAGGACCCUUUAGGUCAAGAGUUAGGCAUCAUGAGGUCGUGCAAAGACUCUAUUCCAAUGUCGGACUUUGAUACUCACCGGAGGGCCUGGAAAGCCUUCACCUUUACCUCCAGGUAACCCAGAAGACCCCGGUGGCCCUCUGUCACCCUUCAAAACAAACCACAGUGUCAGCUCUGUGGCUCACGAUGGCGUUAAGUAUCUCAUCUAGUAUCUCACCUUGGGUCCAGUGAUACCAUGCCCUGGCUCGCCUACAGCUCCAGUGAGACCUUGUGGGCCUGGAUCUCCCUGAACGGGGGGAGGGGUAUUCAAUGGUUAAAGUUGAUUUGGGAUACAGGUCCCGUUAUUCCCACACCUGGACCUCCUCUGGGGCCUACGGGUCCAGGCGGGCCUUGAUCACCCUGAAAGAAAGAAAGAAAGAAAGAAAAGAAAUGCUGUUAGUUGGCAACGUCAAGGUUUACAGUAUUUCUUUGUACCUUUUCUCCUUGGAUUCCGACACCGGAAGCUCCGACUGGACCUGGCAACCCAGGUGGGCCGAGGCUCCCCUGAGAACAAAAAUGAGCGCUGAAUGUUUUCAAUGAAUGCAAAAGUAUAGUGAACCCCAGUUUAUUGGGGGGAUAUGGUCCAGACCCACACACAAUAGGUGAAAAUCCGCAAUACAAAGAAAUCAUGUAAAAAGGAUUUCUUUUUUAGUUUUACCCCUCCCACACGCUUUAAACAGGUUUGAACUUAUUAAAACACUUAUUAAAACAUACUUGUAUUUGCACCUGUUACUGUUUAAAUUACUGCGCCUGUUACUGUUUAAAUCUGCUAUGUAGCGGAGGAGCGAACGAUGAACUCCGAUAUAGCGGGGAACACUGUGUAUCACAAGAGAGUAUAACAUUUUGUUGUUGUUGUUUUUUUUACCUUGUCGCCUUUGACCCCGAUGCCAGGUAGCCCACGAUUCCCCCGGGGUCCUUCGAAUCCUCGAUCCCCCUGUAAAAUGUCCACGCAGUAAUAAAUAGUAUUACAUGGCAUAGUUUUCAAUGAAAAUGUAUCGGAUAUAAAAGUUCAAUAUUCUUUUUUGACCCCCCCAAAAACAUUUAAAACCAAACGGUUAAAGAUGACAUGCACAUCGAUUGUACUUCAAUGUUAAAACCGAACUGUACUUAAGAAAAGCACUGUACUGUAUUUGCAAAUCAUGUUUGACCUACAUUUAAUUGAAUACACUACGAAGACAAGAUAUUGAAUGUUCAAACUGAUCAACUUGAUUGUUUUGAGCAAAUAAUCAUGAACACGACACGGUGGCAAAAAAAAGUUGAGGAAUGCUCAUCAAACACCAGUUUGGAACAAGUUCAUGAUUAUUUGCUACAAAAUAAUAAUCAAGUCCAUCAGUUUGAAGAUGAAAUAUUUUGUCUUUGUAGUGUAUUCAAUGAACAUGAUUUGCAAAUCAUUGUGUUCUGUUUUUAUUUGUUUAACACAACGUCGCAACUUCAUUGGAAUUGGGCUUGUACAAAAAUAUUGCAUCACUGUAACUUUAUGCACAAUUUGAGCCUUUCAUUAUCUGAUUCCUUUGCAUACCGAGAGAGGAAAAGCACAUACCGCAUAGCGCAUAGCGCCAGUGGCACUAGUACCACACUUUUGACAAUCCUUGUUUUACAAGAUGCGCAUUCUGUUAUUUACACGGCAACAAGUCCCACCUUGGGUCCAGGCUGUCCCUCUCCGGGCAAUCCCGGGUUUCCUCGAGUUCCAGGUGGUCCCAGAGGACCCUGAAACAAGGGAGCAAAUGCUAAGUAAGUCAAGUGUGGAAGCAAAUGUAAAUAUGUAUUAUAAUGUCUCCUAUGUCACAUAAAACAUUUGUGUCCUA